AUUGAACGCUGGCGGCAUGCCUUACACAUGCAAGUCGAACGGUAACAGGUCUUCGGAUGCUGACGAGUGGCGAACGGGUGAGUAAUACAUCGGGACGUGCCCGAUCGUGGGGGAUAACGAAGCGAAAGCUUUGCUAAUACCGCAUACGAUCUACGGAUGAAAGCAGGGGACCGCAAGGCCUUGCGCGAACGGAGCGGCCGAUGGCAGAAUAGGCAGGUGGUGGGAUAAAAGCUUACCAAGCCGACGAUCUGUAGCUGGUCUGAGAGGACGACCAGCCACACGGGGACUGAGACACGGCCCAGACUCCUGCGGGAGGCAGCAGUGGGGAAUUUUGGACAAUGGGCGAAAGCCUGAUCCAGCCAUGCCGCGUGCAGGAUGAAGGCCUUCGGGUUGUAAACUGCUUUUGUACGGAACGAAAAGACUCUGGUUAAUACCUGGGGUCCAUGACGGUACCGUAAGAAUAAGCACCGGCUAACUACGUGCCAGCCGCCGCGGUAA
rnacentral:rRNA from 1 species